UAAUAUAAUGUUAUAUGUCAAUUGAAUCUCAAUACAAAUAAAUAAAAUUUUAAAAAGAAAAGCAGGCUUUAUACAUAUUGAUAACAGAAAUUUUUUUCUCUAUUUAAGAAAGGUCUAAGCCGAGGGGGUUCUUUGGUUUAUUUUCACCCGAAUCCCAUUCUUCAGGUCCCCGGCUGGUCCUCAGCCUCUGCUGAGCAGCAGCGACUAUGUCUGGACAAUCCUUCUAGAGGACCAGUGCUAAAGCGCCGGCUCCUAGUUGGCCUCACUUCUGGUUCUCAGUUUCUCAGGCGAGGGACGGGGUGAACUGAAGACGUGCCUAAGAGCUAAACUGGAGCCUCUCCCAUCCGGGCAGUUCUGCUUAGGAAUCUAAGAACAACAAGCCAAGCACCCAGGCAGCUUCCUCCCACCUGCUGGGGCCAGGAUGGAUCAAAGUUCAAAGAAGGCUUGGAUCAGACAACCAGGGCUGGCAAAGCGAGGAACUAGCAGCCCAGAAGCCUGAGUCCUCAAACUCUGGGACUGAGCUGGCGGCUCGCCCUUAUUCCACACCAGGGCACACAGCUCCCUCUAGCGGGAGCAGAGUGGAAAGACAGGCCAGAGGAGCCACGCGGACGCCAUGGCCACGAGCCACAGCCAUAGCCCUAUGGUUUCCCUUUCUUCCACACGUGUCCAGCCUCCCAGCCAGGGAGAUUGUUGAACACACAUUGAUUUCCUGCGGGUUCCAAGGGUACUUGGUCUGCUCACCAGUUUUCCGAUUCGCUUCAGCACCCAACUGAUAUCUCCUUGGGACCCUGCAGUGAAGUGGCCUCUGGCAUGGUUGGUGGCAGCAUCUUCCUUGCAGAUAACAGCUGCCUACACCUGCCAGUUCUUACCCCAUCUAUGACAGCAGGUUUCAGGGCCACAAAGACAGUCCCUGUCCCAUUGAAGAAGGUGUUGGAAUUAUUGAAGCUCCCCAGUGCCUUGUCGCUGGGCCUGUGCCCUGGAGCUGGAUGUGGGGCUUCAGACAUUGCCCACCUGGGCCCAGCCUGGCCCACACAGGUGGAGAUACAGAUGGACUCCUCCAGGGGUCCCCAGCUGCCACCCUGCCCCCCCACCAUAGUUGUCUCAGUAGCUGAAAUUUGCAGAGGGCCGUGAACGGCGGACGUGCUGUGAAUCUCCAGAAACACCGCAAAUUUCCCAACAUCUAACAGAAAUUCCUCAAAAAAUCCUUGAUGUGGACAGCGGUUCCAGAAUUAUUGGUGUGCUCCCCCAGUUUUAUGCUGAAUGGUGAAUUUCCCUAUGGAGUGGCCAUGUGACCAAAAGUGGGUGUCCUCUGGCCAAUAGCCAGUGAAGCACUGAAGCCCUCAGUCCAACAGCCUGCCAGGAACCGAAUCCUGCCAACAACCAUGUAAGUGAGCUGGGAAGAGGUUCUUCCCCAUUCAGGUCUUGAGAUAAUUGGAGCCCCCGCCCCCCACCAACACUGUCAUUGGAGCCUCAUGAGAGACACUGAGCUAGAGGACCCAGCUGAGCUGCACCUGGACUCAGAACCUAGGAAUUCACUACUUUGCUAUUUGAAUCCAGGAAGUUUGGGAUACUUUGUUAUUCACUGUUACAUAAGCAGUGCAUAUCUUGGUGCUAGAAGUGGGAUGCCUUUGUAACAAAUGCUUAAAAAUUUCAGAGCUGCUUUGGGACCAGCCAGUGGGAGGAGGCUGGAAAGAUUUUGGGGAGCAUGGUAAAGGAAGCUUAAGUUGCCUGAACAACCUGGCGGUAGAAAUCUGGAUGGUACUGGAAACUGGACGAAGGAGAAUCCUUAUUAUGUACUGGCAGGAAUCUUAGCAACACUGUGUCGUCCGCCCUUCAGUGGAAAGUAGAAGCAGGCUGAAUGAACUUGGUGAUCUAGCUGAGGAGAUUUCCAAGAGUGUUGAAGGUGCUGCCUCCUUUCUUCUUGCUGCUUAUAAUAAAAUGCAAGAGGAGGAGUUCCCAUUGUGGCUCAGUGGUAACGAAUCUGACAGGUAUC